CAGUAGCCACGGGAAUACGAAGGGGGCUAGCGUUGCUCGGAAUGACUGGGAGUAAAGGGCGCGUAGGCGGCGAUCGAAGUCAGGCGUGAAAUUCCUGGGCUCAACCUGGGGGCUGCGCUUGAUACUUGGUUGCUUGAGUGGGGAAGAGGGUCGUGGAAUUCCCAGUGUAGAGGUGAAAUUCGUAGAUAUUCGGAGGAACACCAGUGGCGAAGGCGGCUCACUGGACCAUUACUGACGCUGAGGUGCGAAAGCGUGGGGAGCAAACAGGAUUAGAGACCCGCGUAGUCCCUGUCUCUUAUAC
rnacentral:rRNA from 1 species